AGCGAACGCUGGCGGCAGGCCUAACACAUGCAAGUCGAACGAACCUUUCGGGGUUAGUGGCGGACGGGUGAGUAACACGUGGGAACGUGCCUUUAGGUUCGGAAUACCUCAGUUAAACUUGUGCUAAUACCGAAUGUGCCCUUCUGGGGAAAGAUUUAUCGCCUUUAGAGCGGCCCGCGUCUGAUUAGCUAGUUGGUUGAGGUAAUGGCUCACCAAGGCGACGAUCAGUAGCUGGUCUGAGAGGAUGAUCAGCCACAUUGGGACUGAGACACGGCCCAAAAUCCUACGGGAGGCAGCAGUGGGGAAUCUUGCGAAAUGGGCGAAAGGCUGACGCAGCCAUGCCGCGUGAAUGAUGAAGGUCUGAGGAUUGUAAAAUUCUUUCACCGGGGACGAUAAUGACGGUACCCGGAGAAGAAGCCCCGGCUAACUUCGUG
rnacentral:rRNA from 1 species